rnacentral:rRNA from 1 species
GAUGAACGCUGGCGGCGUGCCUAAUACAUGCAAGUCGAGCGAACAGACGAGGAGCUUGCUCCUCUGACGUUAGCGGCGGACGGGUGAGUAACACGUGGAUAACCUACCUAUAAGACUGGGAUAACUUCGGGAAACCGGAGCUAAUACCGGAUAAUAUAUUGAACCGCAUGGUUCAAUAGUGAAAGACGGUUUUGCUGUCACUUAUAGAUGGAUCCGCGCCGCAUUAGCUAGUUGGUAAGGUAACGGCUUACCAAGGCAACGAUGCGUAGCCGACCUGAGAGGGUGAUCGGCCACACUGGAACUGAGACACGGUCCAGACUCCUACGGGAGGCAGCAGUAGGGAAUCUUCCGCAAUGGGCGAAAGCCUGACGGAGCAACGCCGCGUGAGUGAUGAAGGUCUUCGGAGCGUAAAACUCUGUUAUUAGGGAAGAACAAAUGUGUAAGUAACUAUGCACGUCUUGACGGUACCUAAUCAGAAAGCCACGGCUAACUACGUG